rnacentral:rRNA from 1 species
UAGGGAAUCUUCCACAAUGGACGCAAGUCUGAUGGAGCAACGCCGCGUGAGUGAAGAAGGCUUUCGGGUCGUAAAAGCUCUGUUAUUGAAGAAGAACGUGUGUGACAGUAACUGGUCAUGCAGUGACGGUAUUCAAUCAGAAAGUCACGGCUAACUACGUGCCAGCAGCCGCGGUAAUACGUAGGUGGCCAAGCGUUGUCCGGAUUUAUUGGGCGUAAAGCGAGUGCAGGCGGUCUUUUAAGUCUGAUGUGAAAGCCUUCGGC